GAGAAGUGAUGGAGAAAUGGAUUCAUAUCAAAUAUGAGUAUGUUUCAAAGUACUGUAAAGAAUGUAAGUUGCAGGGACAUAAUGAGAAAGAAUAAUGAUGAGGUAAAAGAGAAGAAAGAUACACAAUCACAGAAAGGAGAUGAAAAGAACAAAGAAUAAUCAAUAAGUAAGGAAGAUAAUAGUAAAGAAAAGGGGACUAAAGAGGAAGAAUUUCAGCAGCAAAAGAGGAAGCAAGAUAAAAGAAGAAGAAAUUAUAGGAGAAGACAGGAAACACGAUGGAAUCAGAAGGUCCAUAAUCAAAAGAUUAAUACGAAUAAAGAUGCAGAAGUCACAGUAAAUAACAAGUUUGGAGCAUUGGAGGAGAAAGAUGCAGCAGAUAAUAAUAACAAACAAAUUCCAGAGAGUGGUAACAACAUAAUGAGUGGAAAGGAACAAGAGGAUAUGCAUGUCCAUUAUACAAGUAAAAAGAAUGAUAACAUGGGAUCAUCACAAAAUUGUAGUGAUAAUUCCACCAAAAAGGAGAUAUACAAGAAGAGUCACAAAGUUCAGUCAAAUAUCAAGGUAGAGAAAGUGUGGACCAAGACACAGUGGACUCUAUGAAUAAUAUACAGAUUGCUGCCUAAGAAAUUUUAGUUCUGGAGAAACCUGAUGAAAGCAGAGAUGAGGUCCCUAAAAUUCAGAAUAUGACACAAUAGGAGAAACAACAAAAAUAGGACCAAGAAAAAGAUGCAGACAUGGAAGCUAAUAUAGAUCAAAUUGAAAGGGAUGGAGAUUUAUCUCCAAGACAAAUUGGCCAGUUAAAAGGAAAGAAUAGAAAGAAUUCCAAGAAUAAUAGGACCAAAUCACAAAUUAAUACAAGGAGUAAGUCAGGUCUCAAAUUUAGUAGUGCUCAAUGAUUAAUAAAGUGUUAUUCUAGAACAUUAGAUCUAUUAGAACUCAAAGUUCUUUUGAGAGACUAAUAGAUCUUCAUAGAAGGAAUAAAUACUCUUAAAUUGAUUUAAUGGAGCCUUUUAAAAGUCCAACUGAAUUGAAAGUUUACAAAAGAAGAUUAGCCUUUCCAAAUGCUAAAUCAAGUUGUUUUAAUAAAAUUUAGGUAUUCGGGGAUGAUGAAUGGGAAGAAAUAGAUGUUUCAGACACUAUUCAGCAAUUAACAAUUGAAUACAAGGUGAGUGGAGAAUCUGAUUUCUUCAAAAUAACUAUAGUGUAUUCUAGAUGUAGUUAUCUAGAGAGAUUUGAAUUGUGGAAGGAUUUGGAGGAAAUUUCUAAUCAUACGAAUAUUCCUUGGCUUGUCGACGGUGAUUUUAAUGUAAUCAUGAAUGAUUCGAGGAAGUUAGGAGGUCUCCCAGUGACACAAUAGGAAACUCUAGAUUUUUCUUAAUAUAUCAAUUCUUGUGCUUUAAAUAAGUUAAGAUACACUGGCAGCAGAUUCACUUGGUGGAAUAGAAGAAUUCAAGAGGACUAUAUCUUCAAAAGAUUGGAUAGGACGUUUGGUAACUAUGAUCUCAUACAGAUUAUGCCUAACUGUGAAGUUCAUCAUCUCAUUAGACAAGGUUCAAAUCAUGCCUCUUUACAUGUAAUAAACAACACUGAACAAAUGCAAGUUAGCAAAUCUUUUAGGUUCUUGAAUUUUUGGACCAAGCAUGAAGAUUUUCAAAAGAUAGUACAGGACUCUUGGAAGGAAAACAUCACUGGUUCACCUUUUCAGAUAGUACAUAAAAAGCUGAAAAAGGUCAAAUCAGUUCUUGCUAGUUGGAGUAGGGCUACUUUUAGAGAAUUUUUUCAAAAUGUAGCUACUUUGGUAGAUAUCAUAAAAGUAAAGAAAUCACAGUUAGAGAUUCAACCAACUCCAGAAAAUAGAGAGUAACUAAGUAAAGUAGAGGCUGAUUUAAAGAGAUUGAGGAAAAUAGAAGAAGAUUUUUGGAAACAGAAGGCAGAAAUGAAAUGGUUUAUAGAUAGAGAUAGAAAUACAAAAUUUUUCACUCAUAUAUGAAAAGAAAGGAAGAGAAGAUCGCAGGUGACAAAAAUAUAGACAAGACAAGGGAACACUAUCACAUCAGCUCAAAAUAUUGGAGAGGGGGCGAUGCAGGUAUUCAUGAAAUAAUUUGCAGAAACACGGUUCGAUAAAAAUUAUAACAUGUUAGGAUGUAUCAAUAGAAGCAUUUUUUAGGAUCUAAAAGAGACAAUGAAAAGAUUUCCUGACAUUGAAGAGAUUAAGCAAAUUGUGUUCUCAUUGAAUAGAGAAAGUGCAAGUGGUCCAAAUGGUUUUUCGGGCUAAUUCUUUCAAUGUUGUUGGAAUAUAGUGGGUUAAGAUAUUACCAAUUUCGUGAAAUCUUUCUUUUAUGGAAGUGAACUUAUUCCAAAGAAAGAAGUGGUUACUAUUAUGGUGAUCUAAGACCCAUUAGUCUUAGCACUUCUGUUAAUAAGAUUAUUUUCAAGUUGAUUCAUAUAAGAAUUAUGGAGGUCCUUCUUAAUAUUAUCUCUAAUAAUCAGGCUAAUUUUGUUAAAUGAAGAAGUAUAACAGAAAAUUUUUUGUUAGCUCAGGAAAUUAUUAGAGAUGUUAAUAGAAGAAAUAAAUUUCAUAAUGUGAUGGUAAAAUUGGACAUGUAGAGUCUCUUGGAAAUAUCUUGUGGAGGUCCUGAGAAGAUUUGAUUUUUCUGAAAGGAUUAUUGCUAUGGUGGUCAUAUUAAUAAACAAUAAUUGGUAUUCAGUUUUUAUGAAUGGCCAAUCUUAUGGUUUCUUUCAGUCAUCAAGAGGAUUAAAGCAGGGUGAUCCAUUGUCACCAACUUUAUUUAUUAUUUCAGCUGAAUUUUUAUAAAAAAGUUUAAAUGAGUUGUUUAACGAUACAGACUUUAGAGGAUAUGGCAUGCCAAAGUGGAGCCCUGAUAUUAAUCACUUAUCCUAUGCUGAUGAUAAUAUUUUAUUUUAUUUUGGACAAUCAAUAUUAAUGAAGAAAAUGAUGACAGUGUUGAGAAGGUAUGGAUAUACUUCUAGUCACAUGACCAACUUAGACAAGAGCUUGUUGAAUUUGCAUAAAAAGGUUUCCAUAAUAGUGUGCAACAGUAUAAGGAGAAUCACAGGAAUAAAACAAGGUAAAUUUCCCUUUACUUACUUGGGCUAUCCAAUUUUUUAUGAAAGAAUGAAUAAGGGGCAUUAUGAGGAGGAGAUGAAAAAGGUGAUGAAAAGUCUAAAUUCUUGGCAGAAUAGACCUCUUUCUUAUGGAGGUAGAUAUAUUAUUAUUAAGCAUGUUUUACUAUCUAUGCCCAUAUAUAUUCUUUCUGCUAUGAAUCCCCCUGUUAGAGUAAUCAAUCAAUUACACAAGGUGUUUGCAAAUUCUUUAGGGGGAAUGCUACUAUGUCAAAGAAUAAAAAUUGGGUCUCUUGUGAGGUCAUAUGUUACCCAAAAAAGUGAAGGGGGUUUGGAUUUAAAUCUCUACAUGAUAUGUCUAGGGUACUUUUUGCAAAACUAUGAUAGAAUUUUAGAAUUUCAACAUCAUAUUUGUGGAGUUCUUUUAUGUGGAAUAAGUAUUGCAAAAAGUUGCAUCCCUUAUUAACUAAAGGAAAUAGAGCAUCUCAUGUUUGCAAGAAAAUGAUUGAUGUAAGAGAUAAAGUAGAGCAUAACAUUCGGUGGAAAAUUAAAGCUAAAAAUGCAAGUUUUUGGUAUGACAAUUGGACAAAACAGGGUGCUUAGAAUGAUGUUGAAGGAGAACUUUUUCAAGAUGAAGAGAUAGAGGUCAAGAAUUUCAUCAAAAAUAAGGAAUGCGACAAGCAGAGUUUACUAUCAUAUCCAUCCAAGGAGAUGGUGGAUAUGAUUAUGGAGUCCAUAAAGCCUACAGUAGAAGGAUAUUUGAAUGAUAGGCCUUGAUGGAUGGGGAGCACAAGUGGACAUUUCACUAUGAAGUCGGCUUGGGAGUUCAUUAGAAAGAAAAAAAGAGAAAAGGAGAGAUUUUGAGUUCAUUUGGCACAAGGGCUUACCUUUUAAAAACAAUUUUAUCCUAUGGAGGGUAUGACUGAAGAGGAAUCCUAUAGAUGACAAUUUAAAGAGAAUGAAUAUUCAAUUGGUCUCAGGAUGUCGGUGUUGUGAAAAUAGGAGGGAGAAAACUAUGACCCAUGUCUUACUAACAACUCCUUUAGCUUUCAAGCUUUAGAGAUAGUUUGCUCAUUUUGCAGGUAUAUAGGUUGAUAAUAUGCAGUUAUAACAAAUGGUUGUAUUAUGGCGAACAAAGGAGUUAACUUCUAAGCUGAACAUGAUUUUUAAGCUUUACCAGCCAUAAUCAUGUGGACUUUAUGGAAGAGGAGGAACACUAUUAAGCAUGGUGGCUCUACUCAUUUUACUGGAAUGGUUUGGCAGGAUUAGCAAGUGAUCAAAUUAUUUUAUCAAAAGGUGGUAUGGAAGAAACCUGAUGUAUUUCAUUUAAAAUUCAAUACAGAUGGUGCUUGCAGGGAAUCCAGGGAUGAGUUCAUAUGGUUUUUGCAUUAGAGAUGAUACAAGGGAUCUAGUGUAUGCAAGAGAUAAAGGACUAUGAAUAGGUACUAAUAUUGAAGCAGAAGCGAUUGCAAUCAGAGAAGCUCGAGAGUUCUGUUAUGAGAAAGACUUCAAAAAUCUUAUCAUUGAAACAGAUUCUUUAGGCCUCAAACAAAUGAUUAUAAAGCAGUGGAAAGUCCCUUGGCAAAUAAUGGAGAUCAUUGAAGAUAUCAGGAGCUAUAUUCAACAUAUAAAUUCCACUAUCACACAUACUUUUAGGGAAGGUAAUACAGUGGCUGAUUCAUUAGCAAAUGGGAUAAUAGAAGCACAGGACAUGCAUGAAUAUCAUUGUUUUAAACAGCUACCAGUGCAAACAAGAAGGUUACUAAAUAUUGAUAAAGACCAAAUUCCACACAUAAGGAUCAAAACAAGAAGGAUAAUGCAACAGUAACCAACAAAUUCAUCAUGUAUAUUUACAAGGAAACAACAAGUUCAAGCAUAGUCCAACAAGCAAUAACUAGAAACAUUAAAAAAGCAUAGUAAAAAGAGUUUAACAGUAUGCCUGGAAGAAGACAGUACAACUGUGCAACCUACAGCUUGAAUGGAACCCCUAUCUAUCAACCACCAUAUAAUGAGAGAUCAGGAUCUGGGUGAACUGGAUGUAGUCUGGUCAUGUGAGAUACCCAAGACCACCUGAAUACAAAAGAGAAGAAGUUUCAGUUUGAGGUCAAACAGUGCCUGACAAGAGUGAAGAUGAUAGAAAGAGAUCAGCUUCAAUCCACCAUGGUAGCUAGUACAGUACACAGAUAAGGAGAAAAUGGAGCUUGGAAUUCCACAGGCAACAUUGUUGCGGACAGGUUGAAGAGAAAAGAAAGAGCACUUGCUACUCUUUUCUCAAACCCUACCUAUAUUAGACAAUCAGGAAACUUUUUAGAUUCCUUGUUGUUUGGAUCGGGUCUUUUAUGGAUCCAUUUUUGAGCCUAUACUCG
rnacentral:lncRNA from 1 species